rnacentral:lncRNA from 1 species
UUUUCAAGUUCUUUUUACUUAAACUCUUUUAAGAGUGGUUUCAGACAGAUAUGCUUAUGAAUUGUACUCUGUACAUAUUGCAUGUAUUCAUCAGGUAUGAAAGGCUGAUCACCUUCAUUACCAGUCAGUUCAGAUAUAAUUGUUAUGUUCAUUUUCAAUGUUCAUUCAGCUUUGAAAUUUUGUUCAUGCUAAUUCACAACUACAUUGUGAAGGAUAGCCAGCUUAUUAUUCAAACUCUUUCAAUCAUGAUAUAUCUUUACCUUGUUUUUUUUAAACUUGCUGGGCAACUUUCAUGCUCACCCUUGCUAUAUCAUGAUAAAACAUUGCAGAUAAGGCGAAUACGGCCAGAUACAGAAAAAGGAUAAUGCCAAGUUCAGCUUGGUACAGAAUGUGAAGUUAAGUUGUAAAGUAUGUUGAAGAAUAGUAUUGUCAUGUGCUAGAUAGUUCAUGAUUGUGUAUAAGUGAAGGUUACUCGAUUCUGGGGAAAUGUGUGUAAAGUUUAAUGUAUAAACAAUCUAUGUUUAUAUCUUCCGCAAACAGUUGUAGAAAUAGCGAACCGGAUCCGCGGCGAUUCGGGACCCGGAUUCGGGGAUGCUACAGUUGGUAUCAAAGCUGUUGGUUAUGAAGCUUAGGUAGCAAUACCUGAGACCAAUAACCGCAGUGAUUAGGAUAAGUACUAACUCACAUAGAGUUAGUUGAAGAAUCUCGCAGGGUCAAAAAGUUAGGUUUAAGUAUGGUACCAUUGUACUCGAAACUAGUUGAUGUAUGGUAUCUGGGCUAAACGAUUCCUUCAUAGAGCGGAGGUAUAUACGAACUAGCAACUCGGAACCUAGUUUGUUGGUUGUUUGUGGGAAACCACUCAGCGUACCAUAUUGAAAACUGUUAGAGACUCGAUGUGUACCAAGUAUAGGAAGUGGAUAGAUAGAGUCUAAGAGAUUACAAGUGUAAGGAUGAGAGAUCGUAAAACAAAACGAUCACAGAAUAGCAAUGAAUCGUAAUAUAUACGAUGAGAUCACUCCGUGAUCUGAUAAGAUUAUGGUAUGAAGAAAGAUCAAGAGAAUGAUGAAAAGUUUACAGCAAGAUUGCUGUGUAUGAAUUGUACUAUAAAUUGGUACAGAUCCAGAAGAGAAUUAUAAAUACGAAUUAAAUUCGUAUGGAGAAUGGGGUUAGUGUUAGGUGGGGAUUCAAUUGAGGACUCAUGUCGGCAGCUGAGUGUAUAAUUCUUCGUAUGGGAGCUGAAUUGUACUUGGUGUAAAAACCACUUAGUUUCUGGCACUGAUAAUCAUUGAAAUGUUUAUGUCGCGCUAUUUGUUAUAUGCAUGUUGAGAAGGUGAUUCUUUUCUCAUGUGUAUAACGAAUAGGUAGAGGAUAUAAGGUUAAGUUGCGAGUUCUUAAAACUCAUACUUAUGGUAAGUUCAUGACUCAUAAUCAUAUGGUAUGUUUUGAACCCCUCAGCGAAUGGACGCCUAUGGUCUGACUAGGAUAAGUUCUUAAACUCAUAUGAUUGUGGCAAGUUCCUGAACUCAUAAUGUGUGGUAAGUUUGAUGAACUGGGGUAUAGCAAAGUGGUGAAUGGAGCAUUGAGGAUUAUAAGAAUAGAUAGAUCUAUUAAGUAAUGGAUCAGUAGAAAAAGUGAAGUUGAUGAUGGAAGCAUAGGUAUUCCAAAUCUUCUAGCUAUGCUAGACUUCGAAGUUUUUGACAUCAAGCUAAAUACGCACUAUGUGCUUUUGAAAAAUGAAUUUUUAUUCUCAACUCCUGGUGAUUAUUGUGUAUGCGUGGACUUCGGGCCAUCGACACCUCGUUACCUGUUGAGAUGAUAAAACUGAUUUGCAAAGAUUUUUGAAACGAUUUAAAGUACAGUCUAUGCUACUUAUUUCGGCUAGACGCGAAUGAUUUGAAGUAUCAAAAGUUGUUUUUAUUUAUCACUUAUGUACCAUGCAACCUGGUGCAGAGAUGAUAAAAAAAUGAUGGAGUCAUCAAUGCAGUAUUACUUAGUGUUGGAUGUGAUCUCAGGAUCGUCAACCCACUAUGGUAUGAUGUAGUAUGAUAAAAUCACCAAAUGACGGAAUCCUCAACGGACUGUAAAUACAGUGCGGCAUCAUGACGUCAUUCUCGAAAAAUGUUUUCAAAAUUUUAAUUUGCCAACGGGGUUUGGCUAUACUUAAAUAAUUCUAUUGAACUGAAUUAUCGAUAUGAGUCUAUGCUAUUCGAUUCAGCUAGACUAAUGUUUAUGAAAACUCUAAGUGUUCAUUGAAAGAAAUUUCCCGAACCAAAUUGUUUUGGUGCGGAAUCCUAUACUAAGUCUGAGGUGAACAACCCUGAAAAUGGGGAUAUACUAAUUGGAUAGAAUAUUCCAAUUUAAGGACGCAUAUAGUCGUUCGGAUUACUAAGGUACAAUAGACUGAUCAUCUAAAGUACCAGAAUCGGUAGUUUACCUUCUUCGUGAUUGUAAACAUACCUAUUAAAGAAAUGUUUAAGAGGUAGAGUACCUUUCUUUCUUAAUUGAAAGAGGUAGCAGGUAGAAAUACCCCUAAACCUCGGAGUUCAAAGUUCAUAAUUUUUAUGAUCCCUCAGACAGAUAUGAAAAGUUUUUUUUAACUCUUCAAAGUAAUGUUGUGGUAGAAUGUGAUGAUGGAUAUGAAAUAGUGUAAACUCGUUGCGUACGAGUAGAAUCUGAGAUGAUUAAAUAAAGGUUAUUAUGACAACCUAGUUUUGAUGAAUGUUUAGAAGAUGUAAACUCCUAGUGAGUAGUUAUGGUGAAAUGUGAUAAUAGAUGAGAAAUCCUCGAAUGAGGAAAUUGUAAAGGUUAAAUUGAAAACCUAGUUUUGAUCAAGAGAAUGAGCAGAGGUUAGGAUGCUUUAAUUUCGAGGACGAAAUUCUUAGAAGAAGGGGUGAAUGUGACAACCCGAGAAAUUAGAAAAUUAUUAAAAUCUUAAAUGAUUGGUUUAAGGUCAAAUAAUAGACCUAGACAGAGAAUAAGUGUAUGUGUUUGAUGUUUUCAGAAAGGAAUUUUGAGGAUUUAAAAUUUCUUUUAGUGAAUUAUUCAGGAUUAAGGGUAUGUGUGUAUAUAUUCUGUGAUUACGGUAUUAUGUGUACAGAAUGUGGUUAAGGGUCAAGUGUUGACCAGAUAAAUUAUAUCUGUGUCAAACCCUAAUAUUAUUAGAACGUCAACGUUCAGUUAUAAAAUUAUUACGAUUUAUAAGAAACCCUAGAAAUCGGUUCUGGAAACCCUAAUUUCAGUACCGGGAAUCCGAAAUCCUAAUUCAGUAUUUGAAACCCUAAUUUGGGAAGUCAAAGGCUAAAUAUAAUGGCUUAAGUAUUUGUGAUUAUAUAUUAGGGAUAACCCUAAUUGUUAAAUUAGAAAUCCUAAUGUUUUGUAUAAAACCCUAAGGGAUUAAAAGUUAUGUGUGUAAUGAAUAUGAAUUAUGUGUAUGAUUAAAUAAAUAUACAUUAUAUAAUGUGAAUACAUUUAUUUUGUAUAUAAAAGUGAAGUAAGAAUUAAAUUAUGUAACCUAAUAUAUAUAUUAGGUGUGAUAAUUAAAUAACCUAAAUGGUUAUCGUUAUUUAGUGGUCCUAAUAUUUUAUUUUUAUAUUAGUGACCUAAUUUAAGAGAAUUGUGGAACAUGUCACAAUUUAUUAAAUUAUUUUGUUCGAAUAGGUGAGUAAAGGAAUAUGAAGAUUAUGUGAUGGUUUAUAUUGUUUAUUAUAUAAACAAAUAAAAGAAACUAAUGUGAUCCUAAUUAUAUAUUAGGAAUGAAGAAUUUAAUAACUUAAGGGUUAUGAGAUGAGAAAAUUAUGGUAUUUAGAAUAUAUACCAAUUAUGAGAGAUUUAUUUUAUACAUCUCAGUUAAUUAAUUUUAUAACCUAAUUUUAGCAAGUCUAAUUGGGUUAAGGAAAUAAAUGUGCAUGAGUAAGGAUUUAAGUUAUAAUUGAGGAAAAUGAAAACCCUAAUUAAAUGAUUUGGGUUGGAUAAGAAUUAAGAGUGUUGGACUAUGUUAAUUUACAUGGCCCAAAGAAUUAAAUUUUAAGUCCAAUAUAUUAUUUAUUGAUAGCCCAAAAGAUGGAAAUGGUGACCCAAAUUUAAGCCCAAAUAAGGAGGGACAUAUUGGACAUUUGGUAUAAUAAAUAAGAAUUAAAAAGAAAUCAUUUAUUAAUGUGGAAAUUACUAGUAUACCCUUUUGUUUUAUUAGUGUAUUAUUAGUAACAUUGUUGAUAAGAAUCUUCAAUUAUGCUAGCUAAUCAAUUGCUUCUAGAAGUCACUCAUGUUACUAUGCUAUUACACCUCAAUUAUCAAGCAAACUAAUGUCUAGAUACAUUUCUUACAUUAUUACACUAAACAAAAAUCAUAUUCUUCACUUUUCUCAUCUUAUUUUCCAACAUAACUAAGAAAGAAAGAGAGAGACAAGAGAGAGAGGGAGAGGGGAGUUAGGAAACUCCAAGAAAGAAGGAGAAGAGAUUUUGAUUUUUCAUUCCAUCCAAGAUCCAUCACAUAGUUGGAAGAAAAAGAUAUGUCAUGAAGCUAAAGGUAAAAAUUUCCUAAACUCAAAACUCUUGUUAGUUAAAGUGUUUUGAUAUGGUGUUUUAGAUCAAGUGUUGAACUUAUGAUUUUGAACCAUAAGUUUAAGAUCUUGAACAUGAGAACUAUAGAUCUACAUGAUAAAUGAUAUUUUAUGGUUAGAUCUUGCCAUUUUUAGGGUUGAUAGGCUUGAACAAAGAAGAAUAACCAAAACAGUUUUUUUUGUUUUAAAUGAGUUAGUGGACUGCUGCCCUAAAACAGAAAAUUUCGGAUUUGUUAGAGUGCUCUAAAAAUUCUGGACUUGUGAUAUGUUAUAGUACACUCAAUAAGCUUUCCAUAGACUCCAAAACGGACUAAAUCCGACAUCGGAGGAGGGAGUUAUGGGAUUUCUCCCAAACUACACAAAGUUAAGAAAACUGUGAAAAGGACAGUUUUGGAACAGUCACUUCCGGGCUAAAUUCCGGGAGCUAAACAUAUCCAAAUAUGGAUUGUGAUAUAUGAAAACUGUAGUUCGGAAAGAUACGAAUCCAACAAAAUUGACGGAUCAUUAAUCGGAGUUACAGAUUUCGUUUUAUUUAAGUUUUGGUGAAGGACUCCAAAACUGCCAAAGUGCAAAAAGUUUCUGGCCAAAAUUUUCCGAGGGCUGUUUUGGACAUUUAGUUAAUGAGAAAAAUUACAGGCUUUUGGGAAAUGAAAAUAUAUGGUAAUAUGUAGCUCGUGUCCAAAAAUGAGCUAAUUCCGGCUUAAAACGACCAAGUUAUGACCAUUUCAAUUUUUGUGAUUUUCCGACGGAAAUCGCUAUAACCGGAGUUCUACAACUCCGAUUGCCACGAAAUUUAAAAUGGAGCAUCACGUUAACAUAUAUAAGGUUAUGUCAAAAGAUGGGCAUCUCUGGAGUUAAGCACGAGGUAGCUAAUUUUCUUAAGUCACGCACUAAUUAUGAUUUUUGAAAAAUAGUAAAAGAAAUUGAAAAAUUACGGAAAAAUAUUUUUUAUGUAUGAAAUACAUGUAUAUAUGUUUGACCAAAGGAUAAAAAAAUAAUAAGUUGAUUUGGUAUUUUUCGUGAAAAAGAAUAGUGAUUUCGGGAUACUGAAAUAAAAUCCGUCUUACUGAAAUGGUAUUUCGGUUUACUAAGAUGUUAUCUAAUUUACUAGGAUAACAUAUAAAAAUGAAUAACUUAUAAGUAUAAGUUAUGAUGUGAUUAAAAGAAUAUCAAAGUAUAAUAAUAAUAUUAAGACUUAAAACUAAUGUCUAAUACUUAACUAUAUGUUAUGACUAACCGAAAGAUCUAUUAUAGGUUUUAUAUGCUGUAUAGACUGAUAGGAUUAUGUGUUUAAGUUAUUUUAUAACGGUGAUGAUAUUAUUCUAAUAUUGGAGAUCUAUAUUAUUAAUAUUAGGUCUUCAGGAGAAGCGUAUUAUAUUGCGUUACGGUAAUCAACGGUUCAGGCAAGUUUUUCAAGUUCUUUUUACUUAAACUCUUUUAAGAGUGGUUUCAGACAGAUAUGCUUAUGAAUUGUACUCUGUACAUAUUGCAUGUAUUCAUCAGGUAUGAAAGGCUGAUCACCUUCAUUACCAGUCAGUUCAGAUAUAAUUGUUAUGUUCAUUUUCAAUGUUCAUUCAGCUUUGAAAUUUUGUUCAUGCUAAUUCACAACUACAUUGUGAAGGAUAGCCAGCUUAUUAUUCAAACUCUUUCAAUCAUGAUAUAUCUUUACCUUGUUUUUUUUUUAAACUUGCUGGGCAACUUUCAUGCUCACCCUUGCUAUAUCAUGAUAAAACAUUGCAGAUAAGGCGAAUACGGCCAGUUACAGGAAAAGGAAAAUGCCAAGUUCAGCUUGGGAUAGAAUGUGAAGCUAAUUUGUAAAAGUAUGGUUGAAGAAUAGUAUUGUCAUGUGUUAGAUAGUUUAUGAUUGUGUAUUAGUUAAGGUUACUCGAUUUUGGGGAAAUAGUGUGUAAAGUUUAAUGUAUAAACAAUUUAUGUUUAUAUCUUCCGCAAU